AAAAAAUUAGUUAAAUAUAUAACAUUAGUUUGUCAAUCUAAAAUUACUAAAUAAGUAUUUUUUA
rnacentral:tRNA from 1 species